rnacentral:rRNA from 1 species
GGGGAAUAUUGGACAAUGGGGGGAACCCUGAUCCAGCCAUGCCGCGUGUGUGAAGAAGGCCUUAUGGUUGUAAAGCACUUUAAGCGAGGAGGAGGCUACUCUAGUUAAUACUUAGGGAUAGUGGACGUUACUCGCAGAAUAAGCACCGGCUAACUCUGUGCCAGCAGCCGCGGUAAUACAGAGGGUGCGAGCGUUAAUCGGAUUUACUGGGCGUAAAGCGUGCGUAGGCGGCUUAUUAAGUCGGAUGUGAAAUCCCCGAGCUUAACUUGGGAAGUGCAUUCGAUACUGGUGAGCUAGAGUAUGGGAGAGGAUGGUAGAAUUCCAGGUGGAGCGGUGAAAUGCGUAGAGAUCUGGAGGAAUACCGGUGGCGAAGGCGGCCCCCUGGACGAAGACUGACGCUCAGGUGCGAAAGCGUGGGGAGCAAAC